GGGUGAGCUGCUUGGUGCUGUCAGACAGAUGAGGAUCAUAAUUCUGCUUCUGAGUGGCUCGCUCGUGGACGUGCUGGCAGGGAAGUCAAAGCGGACACCUAUGAAGACGGCAUCUCAGGUAAGCAGCACUGGGCUGUAUUGACGUAUCCUAAAG